rnacentral:misc_RNA from 1 species
GAUGAAGAACGUAGUGAAAUGCGAUAAGUAAUGUGAAUUGCAGAAUUCAGUGAAUCAUCGAAUCUUUGAACGCACAUUGCGCCCGCCAGUAUUCUGGCGGGCAUGCCUGUCCGAGCGUCAUUUCAACCCUCGGGACCCUUCGGGGAACCGGUGUUGGGGACCCGUCCGCCGACCCACGGCGGCCGGCCCCGAAAUACAGUGGCGGCCCUGCGGCGACCUCCUCUGCGUAGUAGCGAUACCUCGCAGCUGGAAAGCGGCAGCGGCCACGCCGUAAAACCCCCACUUCUAUGGUUGACCUCGGAUCAGGUAGGAAUACCCGCUGAACUUAAGCAUAUCAAUAAGCGGAGGA